rnacentral:rRNA from 1 species
GGGUUGUGAGGUUAAGCGACUAAGCGUACACGGUGGAUGCCCUGGCAGUCAGAGGCGAUGAAGGACGUGCUAAUCUGCGAUAAGCGUCGGUGAGGUGAUAUGAACCGUUAUAACCGGCGAUUUCCGAAUGGGGAAACCCAGUGUGAUUCGUCACACUAUCAUUAACUGAAUCCAUAGGUUAAUGAGGCGAACCGGGGGAACUGAAACAUCUAAGUACCCCGAGGAAAAGAAAUCAACCGAGAUUCCCCCAGUAGCGGCGAGCGAACGGGGAGGAGCCCAGAGCCUGAAUCAGUGUGUGUGUUAGUGGAAGCGUCUGGAAAGGCGCGCGAUACAGGGUGACAGCCCCGUACACAAAAAUGCACAUACUGUGAGCUCGAUGAGUAGGGCGGGACACGUGGUAUCCUGUCUGAAUAUGGGGGGACCAUCCUCCAAGGCUAAAUACUCCUGACUGACCGAUAGUGAACCAGUACCGUGAGGGAAAGGCGAAAAGAACCCCGGCGAGGGGAGUGAAAAAGAACCUGAAACCGUGUACGUACAAGCAGUGGGAGCACAGAGCAAUCUGUGUGACUGCGUACCUUUUGUAUAAUGGGUCAGCGACUUAUAUUCUGUAGCAAGGUUAACCGAAUAGGGGAGCCGAAGGGAAACCGAGUCUUAACUGGGCGUUAAGUUGCAGGGUAUAGACCCGAAACCCGGUGAUCUAGCCAUGGGCAGGUUGAAGGUUGGGUAACACUAACUGGAGGACCGAACCGACUAAUGUUGAAAAAUUAGCGGAUGACUUGUGGCUGGGGGUGAAAGGCCAAUCAAACCGGGAGAUAGCUGGUUCUCCCCGAAAGCUAUUUAGGUAGCGCCUCGUGAAUUCAUCUCCGGGGGUAGAGCACUGUUUCGGCAAGGGGGUCAUCCCGACUUACCAACCCGAUGCAAACUGCGAAUACCGGAGAAUGUUAUCACGGGAGACACACGGCGGGUGCUAACGUCCGUCGUGAAGAGGGAAACAACCCAGACCGCCAGCUAAGGUCCCAAAGUCAUGGUUAAGUGGGAAACGAUGUGGGAAGGCCCAGACAGCCAGGAUGUUGGCUUAGAAGCAGCCAUCAUUUAAAGAAAGCGUAAUAGCUCACUGGUCGAGUCGGCCUGCGCGGAAGAUGUAACGGGGCUAAACCAUGCACCGAAGCUGCGGCAGCGACGCUUAUGCGUUGUUGGGUAGGGGAGCGUUCUGUAAGCCUGUGAAGGUGUGCUGUGAGGCAUGCUGGAGGUAUCAGAAGUGCGAAUGCUGACAUAAGUAACGAUAAAGCGGGUGAAAAGCCCGCUCGCCGGAAGACCAAGGGUUCCUGUCCAACGUUAAUCGGGGCAGGGUGAGUCGACCCCUAAGGCGAGGCCGAAAGGCGUAGUCGAUGGGAAACAGGUUAAUAUUCCUGUACUUGGUGUUACUGCGAAGGGGGGACGGAGAAGGCUAUGUUGGCCGGGCGACGGUUGUCCCGGUUUAAGCGUGUAGGCUGGUUUUCCAGGCAAAUCCGGAAAAUCAAGGCUGAGGCGUGAUGACGAGGCACUACGGUGCUGAAGCAACAAAUGCCCUGCUUCCAGGAAAAGCCUCUAAGCAUCAGGUAACAUCAAAUCGUACCCCAAACCGACACAGGUGGUCAGGUAGAGAAUACCAAGGCGCUUGAGAGAACUCGGGUGAAGGAACUAGGCAAAAUGGUGCCGUAACUUCGGGAGAAGGCACGCUGAUAUGUAGGUGAAGUCCCUCGCGGAUGGAGCUGAAAUCAGUCGAAGAUACCAGCUGGCUGCAACUGUUUAUUAAAAACACAGCACUGUGCAAACACGAAAGUGGACGUAUACGGUGUGACGCCUGCCCGGUGCCGGAAGGUUAAUUGAUGGGGUUAGCGGUAACGCGAAGCUCUUGAUCGAAGCCCCGGUAAACGGCGGCCGUAACUAUAACGGUCCUAAGGUAGCGAAAUUCCUUGUCGGGUAAGUUCCGACCUGCACGAAUGGCGUAAUGAUGGCCAGGCUGUCUCCACCCGAGACUCAGUGAAAUUGAACUCGCUGUGAAGAUGCAGUGUACCCGCGGCAAGACGGAAAGACCCCGUGAACCUUUACUAUAGCUUGACACUGAACAUUGAGCCUUGAUGUGUAGGAUAGGUGGGAGGCUUUGAAGUGUGGACGCCAGUCUGCAUGGAGCCGGCCUUGAAAUACCACCCUUUAAUGUUUGAUGUUCUAACGUUGGCCCCUGAUCGGGGUUGCGGACAGUGUCUGGUGGGUAGUUUGACUGGGGCGGUCUCCUCCUAAAGAGUAACGGAGGAGCACGAAGGUUGGCUAAUCCUGGUCGGACAUCAGGAGGUUAGUGCAAUGGCAUAAGCCAGCUUGACUGCGAGCGUGACGGCGCGAGCAGGUGCGAAAGCAGGUCAUAGUGAUCCGGUGGUUCUGAAUGGAAGGGCCAUCGCUCAACGGAUAAAAGGUACUCCGGGGAUAACAGGCUGAUACCGCCCAAGAGUUCAUAUCGACGGCGGUGUUUGGCACCUCGAUGUCGGCUCAUCACAUCCUGGGGCUGAAGUAGGUCCCAAGGGUAUGGCUGUUCGCCAUUUAAAGUGGUACGCGAGCUGGGUUUAGAACGUCGUGAGACAGUUCGGUCCCUAUCUGCCGUGGGCGCUGGAGAACUGAGGGGGGCUGCUCCUAGUACGAGAGGACCGGAGUGGACGCAUCACUGGUGUUCGGGUUGUCAUGCCAAUGGCACUGCCCGGUAGCUAAAUGCGGAAGAGAUAAGUGCUGAAAGCAUCUAAGCACGAAACUUGCCCCGAGAUGAGUUCUCCCUGACUCCUUGAGAGUCCUGAAGGAACGUUGAAGACGACGACGUUGAUAGGCCGGGUGUGUAAGCGCAGCGAUGCGUUGAGCUAACCGGUACUAAUGAACCGUGAGGCUUAACCUUACAACGCCGAAG